AUUGAACGCUGGCGGCAGGCCUAACACAUGCAAGUCGAACGAGUGGCGGACGGGUGAGUAAUGUCUGGGAAACUGCCUGAUGGAGGGGGAUAACUACUGGAAACGGUAGCUAAUACCGCAUACCAUCGGAUGUGCCCAGAGGGGAUUAGCGAGUAGGUGGGGUAAAGGCUCACCUAGGCGACGAUCCCUAGCUGGUCUGAGAGGAUGACCGGCCACACUUGGACUGAGACACGGUCCAGACUCCUACGGGAGGCAGCAGUAGGGAAUAUUGCACAAGGGGCGCAAGCCUGAUGCAGCCAUGCCGCGUGAAUGAAGAAGGCGUUCGGGUUGUAAAGUACUUUCGGCGGAGAGGCGUUACCCACAGAGAAAGCACCGGCUAACUCCGUGCCAGCAGCCGCGGUAAUUC
rnacentral:rRNA from 1 species